rnacentral:rRNA from 1 species
AGCAGUCGCCGCGGUAAUACGUAGGGUGCGAGCGUUAAUCGGAAUUACUGGGCGUAAAGCGUGCGCAGGCGGUUGUGUAAGACAGGUGUGAAAUCCCCGGGCUUAACCUGGGAACUGCGCUUGUGACUGCACAGCUAGAGUAUGGCAGAGGGGGGUGGAAUUCCACGUGUAGCAGUGAAUGCGUAGAGAUGUGGAGGAACACCGAUGGCGAAGGCAGCCCCCUGGGCCAAUACUGACGCUCAUGCACGAAAGCGUGGGGAGCAAACAGGAUUAGAUACCCGGGUAGUCCCUGUCUCUUAUACC